GAUGAACGCUGGCGGCGUGCUUAACACAUGCAAGUCGAACGAAGCACUUGUGAUUGAGACUUCGGUCAAUUGAUCAAGUGACUUAGUGGCGGACGGGUGAGUAACGCGUGGGUAACCUGCCUUACACAGGGGGAUAACAGUUAGAAAUGACUGCUAAUACCGCAUAACCCGCUAGGGCCGCAUGGCCUGGACGGAAAAGAUUUAUCGGUGUAAGAUGGACCCGCGUCUGAUUAGCUAGUUGGUGAGGUAACGGCCCACCAAGGCGACGAUCAGUAGCCGGCCUGAGAGGGUGAACGGCCACAUUGGGGCUGAGACACGGCCCAAACCUUCCGGACGGGGACGACGACGACGUUA
rnacentral:rRNA from 1 species